rnacentral:misc_RNA from 1 species
GAUUUCAGCAGUUGAUCCUCCUCUUAUACCUUACUUUUCGGUUCCAUCACACGAUGAGACACGAUUUUCAUGCUUUGUGGAAUCUGAGGCAGCUGGGUCGGCAGUGAUGAUCAGUUGCAAAAUGCCUGUGGAAGAGCUCAAGACAGUGAAAGAUUACCGGGAAUUGCUCACUGAAUCCAUGUUUUUUCAUGCUUUAAACCAGAGAUUUUUUAAAAUAUCUCGUAACAAAGAUCCUCCUUAUUAUUCUUGCUCGGCUGCAGCUGAUAUCCUU